CACCGCGGUUAUACGAGAGACCCAAGUUGAUGCACACCGGCGUAAAGAGUGGUUAGUCAAGACUUUUAAAAUAAAGCCGAACACCCUCAGAGCUGUUAUAAGCAUCCGAAGGUACGAAGUUCAAUCACGAAAGUAGCUUUAAAUCACAUGACCCCACGAAAGCUAGGGCA
rnacentral:rRNA from 2 species